GAUGAAGAACGCAGCGAAAUGCGAUAAGUAAUGUGAAUUGCAGAAUUCAGUGAAUCAUCGAAUCUUUGAACGCACAUUGCGCCCCCUGGUAUUCCGGGGGGCAUGCCUGUUCGAGCGUCAUUUCACCACUCAAGCCUCGCUUGGUAUUGGGCAUCGCGGUCCGCCGCGCGCCUCAAAUCGACCGGCUGGGUCUUCUGUCCCCUAAGCGUUGUGGAAACUAUUCGCUAAAGGGUGUUCGGGAGGCUACGCCGUAAAACAACCCCAUUUCUAAGGUUGACCUCGGAUCAGGUAGGGAUACCCGCUGAACUUAAGCAUAUCAAUAGCGGAGA
rnacentral:misc_RNA from 1 species